rnacentral:rRNA from 1 species
AGAGUUUGAUCAUGGCUCAGAUUGAACGCUGGCGGCAUGCUUUACACAUGCAAGUCGAACGGCAGCACAGGGAGCUUGCUCCCGGGUGGCGAGUGGCGCACGGGUGAGUAAUACACUCGGAACGUGUCCUGUUNUGGGGGAUAACUGCUCGAAAGGGUGGCUAAUACCGCAUGAGACCUGAGGGUGAAAGCGGGGGAUCGUAAGACCUCGCGCAAUUGGAGCGGCCGAUGCCCGAUUAGCUAGUUGGUGAGGUAAAGGCUCACCAAGGCGACGAUCGGUAGCUGGUCUGAGAGGACGACCAGCCACACUGGGACUGAGACACGGCCCAGACUCCUACGGGAGGCAGCA